rnacentral:tRNA from 1 species
AUUUAGGUAGAUUAAUAUAAAUCAUAUUAUUGAAGAUAAUAUAAUAGGGAAACCUCCUAGAUA